UCCUGACGCCACCUCCCGAGCGGCUGUCGCGGGCCCGCCCAGCUGUUGACAAAGGCCGCACUGUAGAACCCGGGUUUGGUGAAGGGUUGGAUUCCAAGCCACCACUUGUUAGGCCUCCCACUGGUCAUAGCUACACAAAGUGUAAUCAUAAGAAAACAUCAGAGAAACCCCAGUUGAAGGAUAUUAUGCACAAUACCUGACCAGUACUCCUCAAAAUUGAUGUGGUUAUCAAGAACAAGGAAAGUCUGAGAAACUGUCAAGCCAAGAGAAGCCUAUGGAGACAUUACAACUAACUGUAAUAUGAUAUCUUGGGUGGGAUCCUGGAAAAGAAGAAAAGAUAUUAGGUUUCUAGACUUUUGUUGAGUGAAGAACAAUUUACUAUGAGGUGACCUACAAAAACAACACUCAGAAUUCUCUCAAAUCACAUUGGUCAGUGCAAUCAGCUCUCAGAUAUUUGCUUGAGAAGCAGCCACAGAUUAUAUCCUGAAGAAAUGGAAAAGAAAUGACCCCCAGUCUGGAUAACAUCCCGGAUAGUGUGUGAAAAGUCUAGGAAUACCAAGGUUUAUGCAUCAUUUCGUAUUCAUUUGGGGGAUGGUACAGUCAGAGAAACCAUGAGCAAGAGAAGGUUGAAGGAUGAACUAGCAAGUGUGGUAAACUGAAUUAGAGACCCUGUCCAGAGGUUCUCUGGCACCUGUAGAUCCAAGCAUGAAUGACUUUCUGGGUGACUGUGGCAACGUCUCUUGUAAUCCCCUUGGGAGCCCUGGUAUUCCUUGAACAUGCAUACCUUUCCCAGUGUGAGGGACAUGGACCGCGCUGUUCGAGGGACCCCAUCUUCUGCAGCAAGAGGGAACAGAGAAGAGAAGUCAGGAGGCCAGCAAGAGGCAGAGAAGCUGGGGCCUUCCAAGGGGCCAGAAAGGAAGCAGGAGGAUCUUGGAUCAUGAUGUGGGACCUGAUGACACACAGUGGAACAGCAUCCAGAAGAGCUGCUGAGGUCAAAAAGGGGAAUCAAAAUGUUUCUUUAUUUUGAGAGAGAGAAUGCAAGCGAGGGAGGAGCAGAGAGAGAGGGGAAGAGAGAGAAUCCCAAGCAGGCUCCAUACUGUCAGCGCAGAGCCCAACUUGGGCCUUGAACUCAUCAACCAGGAGAUCACAACCUGAGCCAAAAUCAGGAAUCGGAUGCUCAACCAACUGAGCCACCCAGGCCUCACAAGAGGGAGUUAUCUACUGUGGAUAAAUAUGUCAGUAUGACCUGCCCUUCAUGUCCUCAGCCAAAAGCACUGAUAGAUUGUCUAAGUUUGGUUAUACUGUUUAAGCCACUACUUGAUCAUCAUAAACUACACAGUCAAGUUGAUUUUCCACACUCAUAGAAUGAGUUAAGUGGGUAAGAUAGUUGGGAAAGAAUUUCUUAAGUUGUAACAUACUUGUUGAGGCAGAAAGUCACCACAGGGUUAAGUAAAAAGAAUUUGCACUCUGGAGCACAUUAAUUUUUUCUUUGCCCUAACAAGUCCCAGAGCACAGUGAUGUGUUUAUAACAUACAUAAAGAUAGACAAAGAAUCAGGUAAAAGUAUUUUUAAACAAUUCUAAACUCGUUUUAUAAAUAAAGACUGUUUAAUAUACAAAACCUAAGAUAAUUCAGUCAAAGUAAUCCAUCUUUUCUCGAAUUUGUAAUGCUUCUCGCAACUUUUAGGAAUGAAUGUGAAGAGCAAUCUUCGCUUUUCAAGGUUCUGAAAAUAUCUUCAAAAUAUUUAUUUAAACACUUAAGCAGAAAGCUUUGUCUACACAAAGCAGUAACAUGCAAAUUCCAUGAGUACGUUUGCUUUGGGAAACAAUAUCCCUUGCUGUGCUUCUGAGACUUUUAUAAAGCAGUUCCAAAUCUAUUUAUGUUCUGAGCACCUUCUAGGUUCCUUACACUAGGAAAAGGGAGCAUUCCAAAAGUCUUCCAACCUUCAGGAAGGGCAAAGUCAGAGGGGAGAAAAGACUACAUUCAAAAACUGUAUUUAAAUGAACUGUGAUAGACACAUGGCAUAUACCUUUCUUCCAGACUGAAUGUAUUUCAAUACCAAGCUGUUUCUGGAGACAAUAGGAAGCAGAGGAAGGACAGUAUCUUGAAGGAUGUUAACGAGGAAGGCUUCCUGGAGGAGAUGGGAUACAUGACGGAUAUCAAGGAAUUAUCAACGGUUUUGUUUUUUGUGGGUUGUUUUUUGGUUUGGUUUGGUUUGGUUUGGUUUUGGUUUUUGGUUUUGGCUUUUGGUUUCUUUUGUUUUGUUUCUGUUUUUUAUUUUUAGGAAUUAUCAACUUUUAAUGCCGUGAUGUGUUUACUUGUCACUGGCCUUUAAAGUGUAUUAAUCCUGGGAUGCCGGGGUGGCUCAGUUGGCUGAGCAUCCAACUACAGCUCAGGUCAUGAUCUCGUGAUUUGUGAGUUCGAGCCCUGCAUUGGCUCUCUGCUGUCAGCACAGAGCCUACUUAAGAUCCUCUAUCUCCCUCUCUCUCUACCCCUCGCUGCUCAUGCUCUCUCUCUCUCUCAAAAAUGAAUUUUUAAAAAAAACAUUAAUUUUUUUUCUAAAAAGUAUUAUUCCUGCUGUUAAGAUUUUGCUCAAUAUCCUUUCUGCUUGAAACAUUCUUCCCACAUUCAGCCUAUUCAAAUUCUUCCCAUUUUUAAGGCCACCUCAAAUUCUUUCCUUCCUUCAACAAGAAUCAAUAAUAAAAUCCUUACAACAAGAAGGGGUCUUGUGCUCCUUAUCUUUAGGGACGACCAGAAAGAGGGGAAGAGAAGAGUUUGAGAGUCUGUGUCCUACUUGAAGUGAGAAAACCCAAGGGAUAAAGCAUAUGGUCACAGUUUCCAAAGAAGAGUCACAUCAGCAUUGACCUAUCCCAUUACACCUCAUCUUAUUUCCACAUGAAUCCUAGGAGACAGAUGCCACUCCUCAUUGCUCCGCACCGUUGGCAGAUUACUGUACGCAUGUCAUAGGGUUGUUCCAAGGAUUAAAUGAGUUUCAGCAUGCAGAGUGCUGACACAGUAAACAUUCAGUGCCUGUUUAUUACUAUGACUUAAUUCAUAUCAAUCAAAAAGAUUAAUUAAGUUGCUCAGGCAUCCCAGAGAUACCACACACUUAGGGAUAUUUCCUAUAUUAAUUUCUUGCCUUGGGAAUUCCCAGAUCAAGUACGUAAUAUCAAACAUCAAACCUACCUGACAUACAGACCCAUGGUUGCAAAUUCUCACGUGAAACUCUCACACCCCUCUCCCAACCACCUCUGUCACACUACCACCACCAUUUGCAACUUGUAAAUCCAGACACCAGACUGUCAUCUGUCUUGGUAGGAUUUUUUUCUUUAGUUCCACCCUACCCACUGCCCCUUGUGCUGAGGGUGUAGUUUUUAAGGGCUUGCAGCAUGGGCCCAAAGCCUCUAAUUCUGUCUCUGUGAGCAUUAAAACUCAAGUCCUGGAAGUAAUGGAAAACAACAUCCUUCUUGCAUCCACCGCUAUCUGGGCAGUCUUAGUAUAGGCUCAAAUUCCUUUACUUUUCAAAAUAUUUUUUUAAUGUUUAUUUAUUUUGAGAGAGGGAGGGAGAGAGAGAAUCCUAAGCAGGCUCUGCUCUGUCAGCACAGAGAUGAACUGGGGGCUUCAUCUCACAAACCGUGAGAUCAUGACCUGAGCCCAAAUCAAGAGUCCAACACGUAACCGACUGAGCCACCCAGGCACCCUUAUAGGCUUAAAUGCCUGUUAUUCAGAUCAUUAGAUCUCUCAGCUAUGCAUUUACAAGGACAUUUACUAUGUUGUUCUUGUUGAGUUUUUAAUCCAGCAUAUCUAGGUGUUUUACAACUGGAGGAUUUUCUGGUUAUUCUAAUUUUCCAGAACUAAGAUUCCCAUCACAGUUUUUCACUGACAAUCAAAUUAGGGCUGUUUACCUUUAUGUUCUCAGCUCUUACCUAAGGGAGCAUUUCAUGUAGUUUUAAAUUCCUAAAAAUAAGCUCAUGUUUUAGAGAUGAAUGUUUAUUGAAAACCCAGAGGAAAUUAUGGUGUAGAUUAUAAAACAACUGCCCAGGGGCACCUGGGUGGCUCAGUAGGUUGUGUCCGACUUUGGCUCAGGUCAUGAUCUCACGGUUCGUGAGUUUGAGCCCCCCGUCAGGCUCUGUGCUGAUAUCUCAGAGCCUGGAGUCUGCUUCAGAUUCUGUGUCUCCCACUCUGCCCCUCCCAUGCUUGCACUCUGUGUCUCUCUCGAAAAUAAAUAAACAUUAAAAAAAAAAGCUUAAGAACUUUAUAAAUAAAUAAAUACAAGAGAUCUGAUUUAAGAUGUCAAACAUUCUUUAAGAUCAACUAUUCUUUAUCUCUUUUUAAUAAUUAGCAUAUUGUAUCAGCCUAUAAAAUAGCUCACUCUUUGGAUUGCGUAAACAUAUGUAUUUACCAACACUGCAACCAACCACAGUACCAACCACAGAAAACUAAAGACUCUUAGCUGUCUCUCUUGAGUAUGUACUCAACAAAGUCCACACUGACCAAAUACACUAAUUGCUUUACCUUCAUCUGGUGCACUAGGCCCAACGUGGUGAAUGGCAUUUCGUGAAGCAACACCGCACAAUCACGCCAGUUGAAAUAAAAUCUCUGUACUCAUUCCAAAACUAGAUCUAUAUAGUUUAAAAUGCCUAUAUCGUCCAUAUCUGCUAAGCUUAGGGAAAAAUAAGAAGCUGCCUGUAAGUACCAGAGUAAAGAGUCGCAAUUUCGGUCCCAAUUGUUGUCAGGUGAUUUUUCUCUCUAUCCAGUAUUCUGAUCCCUGCAGACCCUCUUCCCCUCCGUGCCCGCUAUAUGCUAGAAUGCCUCGAGCUUGGUCCGGGCCUUCUCUUGUCAUUCUACAUCCUCUCCCUAGAUUAUCUUACACAAUUCCAUAGUUUUAAAUUUCAUUUAUAUGUCAGCAGCUCACAGACUUCUUUCUCUAGCCCAGAAACUGUCUUUUGAGCUCCAAAUCUGUAUAUCCAACCUGUCCGAUAUCUGUCUCAGACAUAUCUCUGAUACCCAAGUAGUGAUGUAGUCUUGCCCUAAUGUACUCCUCUAUAAUCAUUUCUAUCUUGGAAAAUGACACUUCAAUCACCCAGUAAUUGAUGGCAGAACUCUGGAAGUUCUUCCUGACACUACUUUUUCAAUGACCUGUAUAUAUAAUGCAUUAGCAAGACCUAGUGAUUAAGAUUGAUUGAUUGAUUGAUUGAUCAUAGUGGAGGUAGAGAGAAAUGGAGAUAUACUAUGUCCACUACCUUAAACCUAUUCCUAGCUGUUUAUCAUGUGUUACCUGGCCAGUCACCAGGACUAGUUUCCUAAGUGGUCUGCCCACAUCCUCUCAAACACUCUAAUCUAUUCUACACAAUGUAACCAGAACAAUCUUUUAAAAUGACAAAAUCAAUUCUUUAUCACAGGCAUAUGCUGAUUGAAACAUAUACACAUCACUUAAAACUUUCAGUUACAUUGCACCUAAGAUAAAAUCCCAACUCCAUAACAUAUCCUUUGCCAAAAGAAGUCUCAGAGACAAAAGCAUUUAGAAAAAAAAAAGAUUUCUUAGAAAAACACUUGCAAAAGGUUACAAUUGAGUUCAACUUUAGAAGGACUGGUUCACAAAACACGGUCCCCAAGGUUAUAUGGUUCAUAAUGGAAAAAGCAACUUUCUCAUAUGUUUGCCAUACUCCCCCAAAUUAUUGCAUAUCAUCAGACUUAGAAAAGUCAGCAUUACAAAAGUCAGCAAUUAAAUUAUUUUUGUUAGGGAAUCAGUAACAUGCGAGAAAGGCUAAAGGUUUUAUUCACUUUGGAGACUAUAGAUAGUAUGACACUGUCCUUUUUUGGCUUACCUCAGAGCACAAAGUGUUUUGUUUUUCUUAACUGUGGUAUGUGACAUACAUACUUUCUCAUAUUGGAAGCAGGGAAAGGUGCUAAUUUUGCUUUAUGUGGAUAAAUCUGGGCAUGAUGUGGCUACUUCUUAUGUCUUUGCCCUCAACUUAUGUUAUGCUUCCCAUAUCUAUGUUCCAGCCACAUGGCCUUCUUUCAGGUUCACCAACUCUUCCCCCAGCACACUGUUCCCUGUCUGGUACACACUCUCUUGUAGCCUUUAUGGAGCCAAAUCUUACUCAUCUUCCCAGUUACAACUUAAGUAUCACUUCCUCCAAAUCCCAAUCUAAAUCUAUUCUCCUAUUAUUCAAUCAGUCAUAAUGUCUGCAUUAUCAGUUAGGAUGCCUUUGGUUGUCAGUAACUCAACGACAAAUUCAAACAUAUUGCUAGGGUCUUCAAGGCCAGGGAGGUUUUGAGCAUGGAGAAGAAAAUUCACCAAUAUGUGUACUUUUGUACAAAGCUCACUUUAUAAACAUUAAUAUGUAGUAAGCAGUAUUUCCUGGAAAUGUUGUCUUGUUUUGUCCCAAACAGUAUUUUCUAAGCAUAUGUGGCUAUUGAGCGCUGGAAAUAUGGCUAAUGCAACUGAGGAAUUGAAUUUUUAAUUUCAUUUAUUUUUAAUUAACAUUUAAAACUGAUAAUUGCUUCAGUUUUUGGAAAACUUAAGCAUGCUUGGAAAAACUCAAAUAUGUGAAUCUAUUUUUGCAACUGCAAAUUUUAAGAAAUCUAAAUUUUAUGAAAUCAAUUUCCAAUUGAAAUUAAGCAAUUAAGAAUAAAGCAUGUAAG